GUUGAACGCUGGCGGCAGGCCUAACACAUGCAAGUCGAGCGGUAGCACAGAGAGCUUGCUCUCGGGUGACGAGCGGCGGACGGGUGAGUAAUGUCUGGGAAACUGCCUGAUGGAGGGGGAUAACUACUGGAAACGGUAGCUAAUACCGCAUAACGUCGCAAGACCAAAGUGGGGGACCUUCGGGCCUCAUGCCAUCAGAUGUGCCCAGAUGGGAUUAGCUGGUAGGUGGGGUAACGGCUCACCUAGGCGACGAUCCCUAGCUGGUCUGAGAGGAUGACCAGCCACACUGGAACUGAGACACGGUCCAGACUCCUACGGGAGGCAGCAGUGGGGAAUAUUGCACAAUGGGCGCAAGCCUGAUGCAGCCAUGCCGCGUGUGUGAAGAAGGCCUUCGGGUUGUAAAGCACUUUCAGCGGGGAGGAAGGCAUUAAGGUUAAUAACCUUAGUGAUUGACGUUACCCGCAGAAGGAGCACCGGCUAACUCCGUGCCAGCCGCCGCAGUAA
rnacentral:rRNA from 1 species